CCCUUAGAUGUUCUGGGCCGCGCGCGCGCUACACUGAUGCAUUCAACGAGUCUAAAACCUGCUCUGAUAGGGGUGGGUAAUCUUUUGAAUGUGCAUCGUGAUUGGGAUAGAUGAUUGCAAUUUUUCAUCUUCAACGAGGAAUGCCUAGUAAACGCAAGUCAUCAGCUUGCAUUGAUUACGUCCCUGCCCUUUGUACACACCGCCCGUCGCUCCUACCGAUUGAAUGAUCCGAUGAAUAUCAUGGAUUGAGGAUGCAAGCAGGUUCGCCUGUCUUCAUCUUCGAGAAGUGAAGUAAAUCCUAUCAUUUAGAGGAAGGAGAAGUCGUAACA
rnacentral:rRNA from 1 species